ACUUCGAGAGAAUCGGCGCCGAGGUCGUCGACUAUGGACGCGUCGUCCGUA
rnacentral:sRNA from 1 species